rnacentral:lncRNA from 1 species
ACAGAUCAAUGCUCAUUGAACAGAGAGAAACUAAAUAACAAGAGUCUUACAUCCAUACAUACCAUCUGAUACAAAUAAUGACCAUUGCGGUCAAGUCUUACAAAGAUAGGGCGUUGAAGGCCAACACACCAAACUCGGCCAAUAGCGGAAUAUUGGUCGGAAGCGUGAACCCAUGCCAUCAACCUUAACCUAGAGGCAUUCUGACUGGGAAGUGUCCUAGCUCGGCGGUACGUCAUCAACAUACUCUUCAUCAUCUCCUGCUCUCUCUUACCU